rnacentral:rRNA from 1 species
GACGAACGCUGGCGGCGUGCUUAACACAUGCAAGUCGAACGGAAAGGCCCUGCUUUUGUGGGGUGCUCGAGUGGCGAACGGGUGAGUAACACGUGAGUAACCUGCCCUUGACUUUGGGAUAACUUCGGGAAACUGGGGCUAAUACCGGAUAGGAGCUCCUGCUGCAUGGUGGGGGUUGGAAAGUUUCGGCGGUUGGGGAUGGACUCGCGGCUUAUCAGCUUGUUGGUGGGGUAGUGGCUUUCCAAGGCUUUGACGGGUAGCCGGCCUAAGAGGGUGACCGGCCACAUUGGGACUGAGAUACGGCCCAGACUCCUACGGGAGGCAGCAGUGGGGAAUAUUGCACAAUGGGCGGAAGCCUGAUGCAGCAACGCCGCGUGCGGGAUGACGGCCUUCGGGUUGUAAACCGCUUUCGCCUGUGACGAAGCGUGAGUGACGGUAAUGGGUAAAGAAGCACCGGCUAACUACGUG